rnacentral:sRNA from 1 species
CGGAAGGAUCAUUGUCAAAUCCUUGUACCGAAUGACCCGCGAACACGUUCCGAAAAUCACAAGCGCUGUUGCGCCCUUGGUCGGUGCGGGUCGGUGACUUGUUGCCGGACGCGUCGAGCAUGGAAAACAAAAUCCGGCGCGGGAAGCGCCAAGGACUAGCGAAAUAGAGGAUGGCCUUCCCGCGGCGUCCUGGCAUGCCGCGGGGAUUAAAGGGUCUCCAAAUGAAAAUGUUGUACACAGUACGACUCUCGGCAACGGAUAUCUAGGCUCUCGCAUCGAUGAAGAACGUAGCAAACUGCGAUAGUUGGUGUGAAUUGCAGAAUCCCGCGAACCAUGGAGUCUUUGAACGCAAGUUGCGCCCGAAGCCGUUAGGCCGAGGGCACGUCUGCCUGGGCGUCACGCAUUGCGUCGUGCCCCCCUCACCCGCGUCCCGAAAGGGUCGCGGGCCUUAGGGGCGGGGGCGGAAGUUGGCUUCCCGUGCAGCGUUUGCGGCUAGCCUGAAACAACGGUUCCCUCGGCGCGGACGUCGCGACAAGUGGUGGUCCGUCGAGAUUGUACGCGAGUUGCCGGCAAGCUGCGUCGAGGAGAGCAUUUGGACCCUGUGCGAGACGAGUCCCUUCGGCGAGGGGCAAUCGCAACGAUUGCGACCCCAGGUCAGGC